GAGAGGCAAACAGAGGAGCCGACGAGACGUUGCCGACUGAGAUGGUAACUUACUUGUUUUUUCCCCUUGUGCUGGGUUUAGUACCAAGGAAAAAGAAGUCAAGCCUCAGAGUCUACUGCCCUCAUGCGACGGAAAGUGAGUGAGAGCAGCGAGCCUGUGACCAUUGGUGAUGCCAGGCAAGAGGCCUCCAUCUGGGAGCCGAGCAAUCGCCAGUCUCGAUGAGAGGCUGCUCGUUUCUCUGGUCAGGAACGGUGUCUUCUCCACAGCUGAAGGUUGGAUCCAAGAGGAUGACUCCAGGUGGACACGGGUAGGUGUGCAUUCCCACAGGUGAGGUCUCGGGAGCCAUGGAGAAGUCGGAGCGGACGAAAAUCAUGCCGGGCAGUAGAAAGGCUGCUGAAAGUACCUGAAGAGACAAAGGAAAUGAGAAGGGGGAAGUCCAGACUAAGACAGGAGUCUAGUCUGUAAAGAGAAACAACGGGAAGUCUAAGCUACAGAAACUCUUCAAGUUGCCGAAAGACAUUUAGGAUGGGAAAUAACUUCUUGAAUCCAGUCUCUUUAAGAUCUUAGGCUUAGUAUGCGUGUGUAUUUGUAUUUGCUUAGUAAUCUGCCUUCUUCUGUUUGCUAUCCCUUAUAAUCACUGAAAAUCUACCUUUUCUAUUGAAACUA